AAUAAGUAGACCGCCUGGGGAGUACGGCCGCAAGGUUAAAACUCAAAUGAAUUGACGGGGGCCCGCACAANCGGUGGAGCAUGUGGUUUAAUUCGAUGCAACGCGGAAGAACCUUACCUGGUCUUGACAUAUCUAGAAUCCUGCAGAGAUGCGGGAGUGCCUUCGGGAAUUAGAAUACAGGUGCUGCAUGGCUGUCGUCAGCUCGUGUCGUGAGAUGUUGGGUUAAGUCCCGCAACGAGCGCAACCCUUGUCCUUAGUUACCAGCGGUUUGGCCGGGAACUCUAAGGAUACUGCCAGUGACAAACUGGAGGAAGGCGGGGACGACGUCAAGUCAUCAUGGCCCUUACGACCAGGGCUACACACGUGCUACAGUGGUAGGUACAAAGGGUUGCUACACAGCGAUGUGCUGCGAAUCUCAAAAAGCCUAUCUGUAGUCCA
rnacentral:rRNA from 1 species